CGCGAAAUGCGCGCAAGAUGCCGGGGGAAGAAGGAGUGGGCUAGAGGUUAGCGGACGUGCGUGGCGGAAAGCGCACGUAGGGUGAUUGUUAAGUCGGGGUGGAAAACCUGUAUCGUAACUCAAGAACUGCCUUCGAUACUUGAGAGCUCGAGUUCGGGAGAUGGGAGUGGAACGGCGAGUGUAGAGGUGAAAUUCGUAGAUAUUCGCAAGAACACCAGUGGCGAAGGCGGCUCACUGGCCCGAUACUGACGCUGAGGUGCGAAAGCGUGGGGAGCAAACAGGAUUAGAUACCCUUGUAGUC
rnacentral:rRNA from 1 species